ensembl:lncRNA
AAACAUCUCCAGUGGGUUAAUUUCUCUGUUGGAUACAAAUAGACACACACACACACACACACACACACACACACACACACACACACACACCGUGCUUGUGGUCAAACAUCUUGUAAACACAGCCGGCACCGACGGCCAGCAUCAGAAAAAGGAAGCAGCAGAACACAAUGGUGAGGACUUCGACGGUGUUCAGAAAAACCUCUGUGGAGGAGAAGGCACGAGACAUCUCACCUGUGACUCCCACCAGCACGGCUGCACUCUCCAGCCAGGCGCCGGAGUCGUUGUAGCUGUCCCUGGCCCUGCAGACGUAAUACCCAGACUCCUCUGGGCCAAGUUUGGCCAGAAAGAGUGUUCGUCUACGGUCAGCCAGGGCGCCGUGAUACGGGACGGGGUGAGUGAGGGAGUCCUCAUGUGUCUCAGAGGGAAGGCUGGAAUUGUUCAAGAGCCAAGAGAUGUGAGGGAAAGUUCCUCUGCUGACCUGGCAGGUCAGCUUGGCAGCAACUAGUUUGGAAUCAGCACUGUAAAGAUAUUCAACUUCCACUUUCACGUGACCUCCGACUGGCACUGGACGAACGGCAGAGAGAGACGGGUCAACAAUCACAAACACACACACUUCCUACACAUGUCGGUGUAGUUCAUACCCAUUUCCAGAGUCACAGGCUCACUCGUCAACUCCUGCACCUCAGUCUUCACGCGACACCGAGCGACGGCCGUGUCCUGCCUCGGUGCCAUGGCGACGAGGAACCAGGCAACGAGGGAUUGAGCGCCUGUGACGGAUCCCACCUCUUUGUCAUUUACAGAGAGAGAGAUGUUGACCGGAGGGCUCCCUCUUGUUGACCAGCACGUCACGUUGCCAUACCGACUGGCUCCCUGUUUGAAGAUGGAGUAAGAGAUUCUUGGCUUUGAGAGGUAGGCUGGUGGGGGAAUAAAGACGGGAGAAGACGAGGACAGGGAUGAUACAGCACAAGUUACGCUGAAGUGAAAAUACAUUGAACCAACGUUUUGAGUAGGUCCCGUUUUUUUUGUCUUUUUUCAGCCCUCACCUUUGACUGUCAUCUGGACCUCUUGGCUGCUGGAAAACCUCCUGUCGCCUUGCACCUCGGACCAAGCCAUGCAAGAAUAGUACCCAGCAUGCUCUGGAGCCACCUUCCCCAUCACUAGCUCGUUCCCAGUGAGGAGAAGGGGAGGAGAGGUUAAAGAUGUCACCUCCUUCCUGUUGAACAACCAGGUGUAGAAAAGAUGGGAGCCCCUUGCAACGCUGCAGCUCAGUGCAAUGCGUGACCCCUCGUACGCGGCAGGGGGGAAGGGGUCAGAGGUCACUCUGGUGUUCGAGGCUGGAGCUGAAGGGCAGGGAAGGACGGGUGGUUGGGCAGGAGAGACGGAGGUCAGGUUUGAGAGUGUCUCCAGGGAAAUAAGAUUCUCUCUGUGGUUCACUCACUGACUACACUCAGCCUGAUGCUGUUGCUGACUCCUGUGCUUUCUGGUGUCGUCGCCUUGCAGUGGUACGACCCCUCCGACGUUGCCGUGACCUUCAGGUGAAAUAAAGCCUUUUGAUCCCCAGGAAGGUCAGCGACUACGGCGAUCAGGGCGCUGCCGUCCCUAAUCAGCUCAUAGGUGACUGGCAGAGAGGAGUCAGGUCGAAUACAGCGGAAGGUCACCCUGGAACUGAGGAACGCCGCGUCAGGACCACUCAGCACCGGCUGAAGAGACAUUGAUCCACCUGAGGACAGACAUGGAGUUUAGGUAGAGACCGGAAAAGUUUUAAAGAGAGUAAGAGCAGAUGCAGCCACUUAUUUUUGGAUUUCAGGUUUUGAAAUUAAUAUCGAGGGUUCUGAAGCAACGAAAGAUCCGUCAGUCAGCGUAGCACCAGAUCUUACUAAGCUCUACUUCCAACGUACUUAUCCUGAUGAAGAAACUUGCUAGAGCUGAAAAACAACAACACAUUGUUCAAAUAAUAUAAAUAAACCAAUCAAAUUAUUUAUUCAUGUUGCUAUUUUUAACUUUUUUGAUUAACUCACCCAAAACUGGCAGCAAAUUUAAAGUCUGUUGAUUCUUCAUAACAGAGCUCCACAUUUAUCUUUGACAUGGUUUCUCCAAAGCCUGGCUCAAUAUACCCAUCUUGUGUGUGUGUGUGUGUGUGUGUGUGU